rnacentral:sRNA from 1 species
UCUUAAAAACCUAAGUAUUGAAUCUUUGUUAGAAGAUACAAAGACAAAGACUCAUACGGACUUCGACUACACUAUCAAAGCUCUGAGAAGCAAGAAGAAGCUUGGUUAUUGUUUUGUA